rnacentral:rRNA from 1 species
AGGGUUUGAUCAUGGCUCAGAUUGAACGCUGGCGGCAGGCCUAACACAUGCAAGUCGAACGGUAACAGAACUAGCUUGCUAGUUGCUGACGAGUGGCGGACGGGUGAGUAAUACUUAGGGAUCUGCCUCUGUGUGGGGGAUAACUAUUGGAAACGAUAGCUAAUACCGCAUAACGUCUACGGACCAAAGAGGGCUUCGGCUCUCGCGCAGAGAGGAACCUAAGCGAGAUUAGCUUGUUGGUGAGGUAAAGGCUCACCAAGGCGACGAUCUCUAGCUGUUCUGAGAGGAAGAUCAGCCACACUGGAACUGAGACACGGUCCAGACUCCUACGGGAGGCAGCAGUGGGGAAUAUUGCACAAUGGGGGCAACCCUGAUGCAGCCAUGCCGCGUGUGUGAAGAAGGCCUUCGGGUUGUAAAGCACUUUCAGUUGUGAGGAAAGGUUAGAAGUUAAUACCUGCUAGCUGUGACGUUAACAACAGAAGAAGCACCGGCUAACUCCGUGCCAGCAGCCGCGGUAAUACGGAGGGUGCGAGCGUUAAUCGGAAUUACUGGGCGUAAAGCGCACGCAGGCGGUCUGUUAAGCUAGAUGUGAAAGCCCCGCGCUCAACGUGGGAGGGUCAUUUAGAACUGGCAGACUAGAGUCUUGGAGAGGGGAGUGGAAUUCCAGGUGUAGCGGUGAAAUGCGUAGAGAUCUGGAGGAACAUCAAUGGCGAAGGCAACUCCCUGGCCAAAGACUGACGCUCAUGUGCGAAAGUGUGGGUAGCGAACAGGAUUAGAUACCCUAAUAGUCCACACCGUAAACGCUGUCUACUAGCUGUUUGUGCAUUUAAUCCGUGAGUAGCGAAGCUAACGCGAUAAGUAGACCGCCUGGGGAGUACGGCCGCAAGG